rnacentral:rRNA from 1 species
UACAGAGGUUGCAAACGUUGUUCGGAAUUAUUGGGCGUAAAGCGCGUGUAGGCGGCUUUGCAAGUCGGGUGUGAAAGCCCUCGGCUCAACCGAGGAAGUGCGCCCGAAACUGCAGAGCUUGAGUACCGGAGAGGAUGGCGGAAUUCCCCAAGUAGAGGUGAAAUUCGUAGAUAUGGGGAGGAACACCGGUGGCGAAGGCGGCCAUCUGGACGGAGACUGACGCUGAGACGCGAAAGCGUGGGUAGCAAACAGG